rnacentral:misc_RNA from 1 species
GAUGAAGAACGUAGUGAAACGCGAUAGUUAAUGUGAAUUGCAGAAUUCAGUGAAUCAUCGAGUCUUUGAACGCACAUUGCGCCCCCUGGUAUUCCGGGGGGCAUGCCUGUCCGAGCGUCAUUGCUGCCCAUCAAGCACGGCUUGUGUGUUGGGCUCCGUCCCCCCGGGGACGGGUCCGAAAGGCAGCGGCGGCACCGAGUCCGGUCCUCGAGCGUAUGGGGCUUUGUCACCCGCUCUGUAGGCCCGGCCGGCGCCAGCCGACAACCAAUCAUCCUUUUUUCAGGUUGACCUCGGAUCAGGUAGGGAUACCCGCUGAACUUAAGCAUAUCAAUAAGCGGAGGA